rnacentral:ncRNA from 1 species
AUUAGUAAAAAGGGGCAGACCUUCUAGUACGAAAGGACCAAUAGGCUGUGUUUCUCUAGUGUACCAAUUGUUUUUAAUUAUUAUUAUAUGUUGCAGCUGCCGCCUGCUGCGAAAGCAGCAGGUAGAUAGUUGGCUGUAUCUGCUGAGUGCAGAAAAUAAUGAACGCAUAGUUGGGUAGCCACAAACAUAAUAGAUAAGUGCUGAAUGUCUAUCAAGCAAGAAUCUAACCCCUAGAUACUAACUGGUUUAAUUUUAAACCUUAAUUGAGAAAUAGAACAUUUCUAGAUGGGCUGCAAAUGUAAAUACUGUAAAGUAUUAGUUUAGCAGUACUAAUUUAUAAA